rnacentral:rRNA from 1 species
GUGCCAGCAGCCGCGGUAAUACGGAGGAUCCAAGCGUUAUCCGGAAUCAUUGGGUUUAAAGGGUCCGUAGGUGGAUAAUUAAGUCAGGGGUGAAAUCUUGCAGCUCAACUGUAAAAUUGCCUUUGAUACUGGUUAUCUUGAGUCAUUAUGAAGUAGUUAGAAUAUGUAGUGUAGCGGUGAAAUGCAUAGAUAUUACAUAGAAUACCAAUUGCGAAGGCAGAUUACUAAUAAUGUACUGACACUGAUGGACGAAAGCGUGGGUAGCGAACAGGAUUAGAUACCCUGGUAGUCCACGCCGUAAACGAUGGUUACUAGCUGUGUGGACUUCGGUCUGCGUGGCUAAGCGAAAGUGAUAAGUAACCCACCUGGGGAGUACGUUCGCAAGAAUGAAACUCAAAGGAAUUGACGGGGGCCCGCACAAGCGGUGGAGCAUGUGGUUUAAUUCGAUGAUACGCGAGGAACCUUACCAGGGCUUAAAUGUAAGUUGCAUUAGCUGGAGAUAGCUAUUUCCUCGGACCACUUACAAGGUGCUGCAUGGUUGUCGUCAGCUCGUGCCGUGAGGUGUCAGGUUAAGUCCUAUAACGAGCGCAACCCCUGUUGUUAGUUGCCAGCGAGUCAUGUCGGGAACUCUAACAAGACUGCCGGUGCAAACCGUGAGGAAGGUGGGGAUGACGUCAAAUCAUCACGGCCCUUACGUCCUGGGCUACACACGUGCUACAUGGUCGGUACA